CUAUUACGCUCUGUUACAGAGACUUUACAGGCAGCUGUCCUGCCCUGCUCUGCCCUGCUCUGCCGUGCUCUGCCGUGCUCUGCCGUGCUCUGCCGUGCUCUGCCCUGCUUUGCCCUCCUCUGCCCUGCUCUCUGCCCUGCCUUGAGCGAUCUCAAGCCCGCUUGGCCGCAGUUACAACAUGAGCGAGAGGGGCGGCUUAGUGUUCAAAUAUGGAGACGACCAAUGUACGCAGACGGUCCUUGUGAACAACCUUGCAGAAGAAAAGAAGACCCAGCUGUACGUUAAAAACCUAGAGAAAGCUCUAGCCCUCCGCUUUAAGGAGAUCGAGAAAGAGAAAUUAAACCUGAAGAAGUUUUGGGUGAAGCUUCACCAAACAACUGGAUAUUUUCCUCACAGAAAAUUAUGGUGAUGGUUGCUAUUGCCGUGAAAGAGUCAUCUUAAAGCUUCAAAUUCAAAACCACCGAGUCUAUCUUCUCUUCAUAUAACCAAAGGAAGCAGUAAAAAAAGGCAACCAUGAACUAAGACUUUAACUGACGACAUAAAUGAUGCAUCUUCGAAAGAAUCCACCUCAUCUCCCCACAACAAUAAAUAAGCCUUGACUUUAAAAAAAAAAAAUCAGUCUAGAUUUUGUACAUAUGGCUCAGCUUGUGGACGUGAACAGGGCAUAAUAUACAUGUUCGUGAUACAAAAGCACUUUCUAUAAUAGCAAAUACAUCUCAAAACAGGAGGUGACAUGCAUGCCUACUGGAUCUACACCCUUCUCAUGAUGAUCAUGAAUUAAUCUUUGAAACUAUAAGAAGACUGUCAAGUAAAGGCUGCCUUUAUAAGCUGUCUUGGUCUUGCUGUUUCAGCAAAAUAACAGAACAGUAACUAAUAGAGUAAACUUCAUUUCUUUGGAGUCAAA